CCUACGGGCGGCAGCAGUGAGGAAUAUUGGUCAAUGGGCGGAAGCCUGAACCAGCCAAGUAGCGUGCGGGAUGAAGGCCCUACGGGUCGUAAACCGCUUUUGCACGGGGAUAACACCCUCCACUUGUGGAUGUCUGCAUGUACCGUGCGAAUAAGGGCCGGCUAAUUCCGUGCCAGCAGCCGCGGUAAUACGGAAGGCCCGAGCUUUCUCCUGAUUCAUUGGGCUUAAAGGGAGCGUAGGCGGGCGUUCAAGUCAGCUGUAAACUCGCGCGGCGCAACCGCGCCCCGCAGUUGAAACUGGAAGACUUGAGUGCAGAACAGGAAGGCGGAAUUCGUGGUGUAGCGGUGAAAUGCAUAGAGAUCACGAGGAACCCCGAUGGCGAAGGCAGCCUGCUGGGGUGCGACUGACGCUGAGGCUCGAAGGUGCGGGUAUCAAACAGGAUUAGAUACCCGGGUAGUC
rnacentral:rRNA from 1 species